UUGACAGUUACCCAUUUGCAUCGACAGUUGACCUCAGCUCAUUCGAUCUACAUUCUUGUGCUCCUAGUAUCAAUGAGAUGGAAGAGGAGAGGCGUUGGAGAACUUGUCCAUGGACGAAGCUGUAACCGACAUAGGACUCGGAGACAUCAGGAGCACCAACGAUGCAUGCAACGGGCAACUGCUAAGUUACCUAUUACAUAAAUGGAGGUAUGCCCACUUGCGAUCCAGUCAAUGGAAACUUAAAGGUGGUCUCUUGAUAACACCAUGGUCGGGCCCGGUGGUUGUUGCAGCCAUGUGGUCAACCUAGGCUGGAAGGUUCUUUGCCUUUUCUUCUGUUACCGUGUCCGACCACUUUGUCGCAAGGUGACAAUCCAGAAGGCAACAUUCGAGGCCUCUGAAACAACCGAGGGCCAUCACGGUGUUGCUGGCAAGUAAUGUAGGUUUAGGUUAUGAGCCGAGGAUGGAGAAGAGAACUAUAUGAUGAGAAAUCUCAAGCAAGGAUGCCCUUCGCGCUGUGGGUGUUAGAACGAGAGGAUACGUGCUGGACUGGACCCGAUCUGAGUGCAAUAAGUUGACAAGGGUCUUUGUAUUGUGUUGAUCGACCGACAUGUACCAUAUUUCUACUCAAUGCCAUGCAUGAUUAUUUUGUUCUACCGUGUCAUUGCUUU
rnacentral:lncRNA from 1 species